CACUCGAACCUCCGAGUCCGAAAUUGCUGGUACGGGGCAGGAACACCGGACAAAUCACGCACGCAACGCAAGAUGCGCCCAAACCCUCGCGCGGUCCUCCGCGCCGCCGCCGCCCUCCUCCGCCCGGCCGCAGGCGCCGCCCCCGGCGCGGCGGCCCGCCAAGCCCUACCCAAGGCGACGCGCGCGCCCGCGCUUGCGGAGUGGCCACCCCUCCCGGCGGCGGCGCUCCCGGCCAGCGGCAGCCGUCGCGCCUUCUCCUCCUCGGCGGCGGACUACGGCAAGGACGUGGACGAGGUGAACCGCAAGUUCGCGGAGGCGCGGGAGGAGAUCGAGGCGGCCAUGGAGAGCAAGGAGACGGUCUACUUCGACGAGGAGGCGUCCGUCGCGCGCGACGCCGCCAACGAGGCGCUCGCCGCAUUCGACGCGCUCCUGGCGCGCCUCCCACCCGCCGACGCCGACGCGCUCCGCCGCUCCAUGGGGCUCAAGAUGGAGCAGCUCAAGGCCGAGCUCAAGCAGCUCGAGGACUAGGCUGCCGUGAGAUGAGAAUUAUACAUUGAAUCCUGAGAACUGGGGAGUGGAACUGCAAGUUGGGACAGAAUAAGGAUGAUUGUUAUUUGGUGGUGCUACAAGGAUCAAUGGAGAUGAGGUCAAGACUAAGCUAUGCCGAGGUCCAGAUUUAAGAACAGUCAUGUUAGCCAAGUGAAGCUGGAGGUAAUCUAACCAUAUACUUUUACCAUCACGUGCACCAAUGAAGCACUGGAGGUGGUGUAGGAUCUGUGCCUAUUAGACUUGACCAGUUCAAGUGAGGAAGUGAGAAAUCGGAUCGACGAAGCACCAUUUCCUCCGCUCAAGGAAAAUCAAUGCCGAAGACUGACAACCAACAUAGAUUUAACAGUGCCAACCAGCAACUGAAGUGGAAGACUGACUGACUCAGGUGUUGGCUUUUAGCUCACCUGCCAGUCAAUAUUCUUAUUAGACCCGUGUGACAAUGGUGUUUCCAACACAAAAAGUAUGGUAUACUCAAGUACUAGCUUCAUCGGAAAAACAACUGUAACUCAUGUGUGAUCGCAGAUUCCAUGGUAACUGUUGUAGUUCCAGCUCUACAUUAGGAGCAUAGGGGCUCUCCGCGAUCGCCCUCUAAACGAUCAAAAUAAGGUAAAGCUUGAAGAUAAGUUUUGUACUCGAUUAAUUUCUCAGUCCCUCUAGUCGGGUGGGCGCCGGCCGGCCGGAUCCCCCUGAAAACUGUACGUGCGGGUCUUCCCGCAUGCGGCUCAUGCCAUUUGAGGUGGCCCAGCCCAGCAUUCAUCCGCAAAUCCUGUAGUGAAAUUGACGGAUCCGGAGAGCCGUUUCACCAACUUGGAGUGGAUAGAUCAUUUAGAGAUAGAGGGUCGCCCUGGCCCAGUUGAAGCCGGCCUUGCCAAUGACGCGGGUCUUCCAGGAGUACGCGUACCUGUAAUUGAGAGCCCACUAGAUCCAUUUUUGAUUCACCCUUUAAUUCCUCUCGCUCUCGCUCUCGGUCUCGGGUUCUAUAGUUGAUGUGAUGCGGCUCGAUUCAUCAUUGCUCUCACAAAAAAUCAAUGUUUUCGGUUCCCUUUUGACUCUAAAAUUCUCAUAGAGAAAGAUGUUCUGAUUCAGUUCUCUCUGAAAAGGAAGACGGGCCCUUAGGGACACAGUAGUACCAUUUCCAUUGUGCGAAAGGUCGUGUCUACUUUGAUUCAGUGCUAGCUCCGCAACCCAAUACACUUGUUUCCACCCACGUAUAGUGAAGAAUGACGAUUAAGAUGAUAAUGAAAACCCAAUAGAAAGUACAGGACCGAUCUAGCAUGAAAUGCGAUAGAAAUAGUAGAAAAACAGGCUGACUAAUGACACGCACGCCCUUUCCUUUAUACUAAAAAAUAUACUUAAUUAAACUGACCUUUAUACUUCAAAAAAAUAAAUGAGAUUCUUCCUUCGACUCAACCCAUACGUUUCAAUAUACAAGAUACCGCUGCGCGCCUCCUAGUAACUCUGUCACAUUUCUAGGUCUAGCCAACAUUGCAUCGGGUAACCAAGUAUGCAAUCCUAUCUGUGCAGAUUUCCCAACUGCACCAAUAAAAAGUAAAAUACAAAACAGAGUUAUGGCAUUCAAUCUCAUAUUGCAAAAAAUCCAUUCAUUUCUGGCUUAAGACGCUAAAGGGAGACUUGAGUCAUGAGUCUUGAAUAGACCAACCAAUCUCACGGUGUCACAAGUCAAUUUCUUUUCUGGACUCAAUUAAGGUAUUAGUGUUUGUUCUAUUAGACAAAAAAAGAUCGCAUUUUUUGCACUUCGUUCAAAUAAGAGUUGUACCCGUACGGAAUUAUCCUCUUUCUCAGUAUGAUCUCUAUCAUCAUCUCUAUUCCCUUUAUCAAUUUGCCUAUCCUACCUUGGUCUAUGAAUUUCUCUAUCAAUUCCAUUACCUUAUCCUUACCCAUGAGGUUCCUAUAUUUGAUCCUUAAUUGACCUAGGAGUUGUUCCCGGGCAUACUCAAAAAAUGGGUUAUUAUACACCCCAACCCCAUCCCUUGGAAAAAAAUGUAGCACCAAAGAAAGGAAAGAGCGAGAUGGUGGUUUUUGUUGUUCCCGCGAAGCGAAGAUCAUUCGCUUGGCGAAUGAAGUGGAUCAACCUCUUUUUGGCUCAGGCCAAACACUUUUUCUCGCUGGUCGAGCUUUCUACAAAAAAAAGCGAUGCGAGAGCGUAUUCUCUUAUCUAAGCUUCCUCCCUUCGCUCCCCCAUCGUAGAUGGUUCAGCCACACCCGGUGCCACGAAAUGAUUGAGAACUACGACGGGGUCGUAAUUUAGAUCUGAAUCCAUUCACACCGACACGUUAGAUACAACCAUGUAACUAUUAUCCAGUUCAUUCUGAGACCACGCAGUCCACACCGAACAGCAUACAACUGUAUGAUGACUGUAUAAUUAACUCUGUUUAGUACUGAUAUAGGGCUUGGCUCGACUUGAACCAUACCCAUAUACGCUCCAGUUAGGACUGAGCCUGCUAUUAUCUUUCCCAAUAGGCGGCUAAUUGGGGUAAAUUCAUUCUGGUGCGCUACCAGGCGCGUGCGUGCAUCCCUAACACUUUGAAUGUGUUCAUUUUAUUGAUCUGCUUCCUUCAAAGAAGAAUCAGUGUUUUCGUUCUCUUGUUAUUUCCAAGUAGGAAAGUCCUUUCGAUCCAAUCCAUUCUUUUGUGAACUAUUCAACAAUUAGUGGGUGUGUACUACAAUUCAUUCCUUACCAGACCAUAUCCUUCCUCGUUAGCUGUGUAGGCGAGUCAGUCAACAGAUGAGGGAUAAUUCAAGAGUCAGACUGUCUUCGAAAUGCUAUUCGUUUAGUCGUGUUAUAUAGUAUAUAACUUAGAUCAUAGGGAUCAAUUUCUAGUCGCGUAGCUUCAUAAUAAUUCUGCAAAGCUUCCGCAUAAUUUCCUUCGGAUUGAGCCAACAUCCGUUACGGUCGUUCAUUCUAUUCAAAAAAUCUCCGUUCCAAAACCAUACAUGAGGUUUUCAUCUCAUACGGCUCCUAUUAGUUCACGGGAGAUAAAACCCAUCUGGAUUUUUUAAUAUCUAUAAAAGUACGGCCUUAGUCGCGCAUUGGUGUGAGCGAGGCGCCAGAAGGUGCUUUCUCAUAGAAUCAUUUCAUUGGGAAAGAAAGUCUGAGCUCCCUCAAUUGUGCACUCUUCACCUGGAAAAAGCGGAAAUCGUGGAUACGUCCAAGAGAAACCUUACUAAAUUGAAGUAGGUCUGGUGCUGUUUCUGUAGAAAGAUUUGACAGGGUAAGAAAGUUAUCCGGUCGGUUGUCCGACAGUGCCGUAGUUGAAUAAGCAUUUCCUUUAUUUACUUCUAGAAGGACUCGAAGUGAGACCAGAGAGAGAAGAGUUUCCCCGCAAACCAUAGCGACUAGCUAGUCUCAAAACAAAAGAGUUCUUUUUACAGUAGCGGGGUUGGGAAAGUAAGGAAAGUCAAGCCUGAUGAUUCUGUGGGAAGGGACGGAUUUAAAAUUCCUUUUUCCUUCCUUUUUACGCCACCUCCACCCAAUCCUUGAAGAUACGAAGCAAUCUUAUAUAAAGACUAAGUGAACGUUGGUAUGGCCCAAUCCCAUCAUUUAAAUGAGAGUGGAUCGAGGGAAUAGAAUCUAGACUAUAGAUUGUUUUUUUUCUAGACUAUCAAUUCAAUCUAUUCAUCUCAUCUUCCAUUUUAGAAAGUAGCAAGCAGCGAAGGCUGCAGCAAGAAGUUUCGCACUCUAACUCGAAACGGAUUUCGCGCAUUGAAAGUGUCAUCCCUUGCUUUGUUUUAACCGCCCUUCCUUUAAGUAAAAAUAUUCAAAACUCUUCCUAGAAUUCGCUUUUCUAUUUAGUACCGAAUAGGAUAAGAAGGGCUUCAUUGCCCCCAGUAUUCCCGCAUGUAGCUUUGAAAAGGGUGAGGUGUUGUUCAGGGUUCCCUACUAUUCCACCACUGUAGACACUUCUUAUCUUGGUUACUCACUGGGUGGAACUCUGUAAACUGCUUUCCAGGCGGACCUCUCCAGUCAUGUUCAAAGAGGUCAACUAUGCAGAAAAGUGUUUUCUUUUUUUACAAUAUGUUACUUUGUGAUAGAUAGAUGUACUCGUCCCCGGGUGCCCAAUAAAUAAGUUCACCUGCUCCCACCUUAGUGAGAUAAUAAUUGGGUGAGGGGUUCGUUGAAAUUCUCGUAAAGAGAGAGUGAGUGUUGUUUUCUAAAACUGGAUAUUUUAUAGACAUUUUCAGUGCAUCUAGAUUAGAAGCCUGCGUGCGGGCUCGGGAUGAGUGCUCUGGCAACCCCGUAUGAGUAUACUGGUCAGAGGGGGGAUCUACCCUCCUUUUAGGGAUAAAGCUAUCAAUGGUGAAUUGAGCUUUCGCUAUCCUUUUUUUUAAGAGCUUUUUUGAAUUUGAAUGGAAGAAAAGUAAUGAAACCUGCGAUGGCUACUGAAUAACCUCCUUUGAUUUUCUUAAUUUUAAACCCUUUUACCUUUUUCUUCGUUCGCCAAAUCUUCUUCAGUUCUAUCCAAGCUCGGUUUUGUCUGAAUCUUUGUGGAAGAAGAAGCGGUUCGCCAGUCGCUACAUCCAGGGAUCCCACAAAAUCAUUAAACCUGGCGGCUGCUCGCUCUUUGAUCAGUGAUUCACCGGCCACUAGAUCGAUGAAGAAUCUCUCAAAAAUCCGCUUUUUGAUCAGUGAUUCACCAGCCACUACAUUCUUGGAUCCCACAUUAUUCUCAAACCUAGUGGCUCGCUUGAUUGGCAGUCCUGUAAGCUCAUCUUGCAUACAAAUUUUGGGGGUACCAAGGCCUGCAUCCAC